rnacentral:rRNA from 1 species
UACAGAGGUCUCAAGCGUUGUUCGGAUUCAUUGGGCGUAAAGGGUGCGUAGGCGGCGCGGUAAGUCGGGUGUGAAAUCUCGGAGCUUAACUCCGAAACUGCAUUCGAUACUGCCGUGCUUGAGGACUGGAGAGGAGACUGGAAUUUACGGUGUAGCGGUGAAAUGCGUAGAUAUCGUAAGGAACGCCGGUGGCGAAAGCGGCGUGCUGGACCACUUCUGACGCUGAGGCGCGAAAGCCAGGGGAGCAAACGGG